UAAAACUCACAGGAAUUGACGGGGGCCCGCACAAGCAGCGGAGCAUGUGGUUUAAUUCGAAGCAACGCGAAGAACCUUACCUAGACUUGACAUCCCCUGCAUAACCCAGAGAUGGGCGAAGUCCUUCGGGACAGGGUGACAGGUGGUGCAUGGUUGUCGUCAGCUCGUGUCGUGAGAUGUUGGGUUAAGUCCCGCAACGAGCGCAACCCUUAUCAUUAGUUGCUACCAUUAAGUUGAGCACUCUACUGAGACUGCCCGGGUUAACCGGGAGGAAGGUGGGGAUGACGUCAAAUCAUCAUGCCCCUUAUGUCUAGGGCUACACACGUGCUACAAUGGUGAGUACAAAGAGAUGCAAGACCGCAAGGUGGAGCCAAACUCAAAAACUCAUCCCAGUUCGGAUUGUAGGCUGCAACUCGCCUACAUGAAGCCGGAGUUGCUAGUAAUCGCGAAUCAGCAUGUCGCGGUGAAUACGUUCCCGGGCCUUGUACACACCGCCCGUCACACCAUGAGAGUUGGUAACACCCGAAGUCCGUGAGGCAACCGUAAGGAGCCAGCGGCCGAAGGUGGGAUUGAUGAUUGGGGUGAAGUCGUAACAAGGUA
rnacentral:rRNA from 1 species